UUGUCAGGAUAAUUAUAUCCCAAAUACUGCCUGGGACGUACUUAUCCUAAAA
rnacentral:miRNA from 1 species